AUUGAACGCUGGCGGCAUGCUUUACACAUGCAAGUCGAACGGCAGCGGGUCCUUCGGGAUGCCGGCGAGUGGCGAACGGGUGAGUAAUAUAUCGGAACGUGUCCUGAAGUGGGGGAUAACGCAUCGAAAGAUGCGCUAAUACCGCAUAAUCUCUGAGGAGAAAAGUGGGGGAUCGAAAGACCUCAUGCUUUUGGAGCGGCCGAUGUCUGAUUAGCUAGUUGGUAGGGUAAUGGCCUACCAAGGCGACGAUCAGUAGUUGGUCUGAGAGGAUGGCCAGCCACACUGGGACUGAGACACGGCCCAGACUCCUACGGGAGGCAGCAGUGGGGAAUUUUGGACAAUGGGCGCAAGCCUGAUCCAGCAAUGCCGCGUGAGUGAAGAA
rnacentral:rRNA from 1 species